AUGACGAGGGUAUAACUAGGCGAAGCCCCUCUUCUUCGCUCUCCUCUCCUCUCUUCUCUACUUAAAAACUACUAUCCCCAUUAUACGGAUCACUAGAUAUUCUCGUAAUUUUCUCUUUCUUCUCUAAAGUACUAUCUCUCUCUCUCUCUCUCUUCCUUCCUUCCUUUUCAGUUCAUUUCUAUUUGUAAUUUCCCAUACCCAAGAGAGAGUCGAAACUAUGUGUGUGCAGGACACAAACAAAUUAUCGGGGGAAAGAAUGGAAAAGCAAGAAAAGAAAUCAUGGUAGGGGUUCUUAAAUUCCCAUGUCAAGAAUUGGGAACAAGAUUCGUCUUCAACGAGGAGUGCCACCGAUCAGUGGUUUAUUCAGGAAAUGAUUCUACCAUAUUCAAUUCAUCUCCUGAAUGAAGAAACACCUAUGAAUUGCUAUUCUGUUUCUUUGAAACAAAAAGUGAGGGGAAAAAUUCAUCAACACCCGAUAAAGUCAUGACCUCCUAAAAUCCUUCUCACAAAAAACCCGACAGAAAUGGCAGUACUCCAUAUCUGGCGCUCAACUCUCUGCAACUCUUGCUGAGAAUCUCCAAUGUUGGCGACUCCAAGGAGAUGAUCUCCCGCUACAACUGUCGCUGCAAAUCUAAAGAUUCCUUGCAACUCCUCCGUUCAGGUUGGAGCUCCUCCAUCGUCAUUCAGGUCGUCAAGUUCUUAAGGUUUUGAAGCUCGAAGGUGUCUCAAGCUCCUUAAGGUCCCUUGCAACUCCUCUCUCAUCGUUCAGUGUAUUCCAAAGUCCCUGCAAGGUAAAAUUUCGAUAAACCACUGAUUCCAGUACUGUAAUGGUGGGGAUUUGGGAAAUAGAGGAGUUCGUCAAAUCAAAACUGGAUUAAUGAAAAUCCCAAAUGGGAAACUCGGUCAAGAAGAGAUCGCAGUAGUGUUGGAACAAACUCCUUCAAUCUAAGACAUCUUAAUUUUCCUCCUAAGAACAGAGACAGAAGAGGGAUCCUGCCUCAAUAAGAGGAGUGAUGUGAUUCUAGGUCGCAUGUUUUCAACUGGUCAGUUACUGUUUGUUGAAUCGCACCACCCUCAACUGAAAAAUCCUUGGGUCCAUUGAAUCAAACUGGUUAGGGGUGCGCAACACGAGCACUCUUCCUGAAAUGGGUAUAUGUCGAAGGAAAUAGUUUGUGGCCAGGCUUCUCACCCCCUACCUCCACCGUAAGAGGGUGUUUCCAAGUGUUUCUGCACUUUGAUCAGAUAAAAAAACCUGCCAUGUUUUGAAUCAACAAAAGUGCACAAAAUCACUAUUGGGUCAAGGAAGGCAUGCAUCCUUGUGCUUUGAUUGAAUAAAAAAGCCUUGGUAGUUUAAUGGGCACUGUCAAAUUUUCUAUUCACUAAUUACUGGGAAAGUUAAGAGCUGGCACGGUCCAUGAUCAGAUGCUUAGAUAGGAUAAUUAACGUAAAAGAGAAAAGAAGUCUCUUAAACACCAUCAUGGGUAGGCAGACCAUACUCCUAUAAAGGUAUAGGGAAGCUCAUCCCUUGUUCAUUUCCAAGAUACCAUGGACCCAAGUCUCGUCUUUCUGAGUUUCUAAAGGCCAUAGGGAAGGCAUCCUUUGGCCUAAUUGAAUGCAAAACCUUCUAGUUUAAUGUUCUAUUCACUUGUGAAAGAUGAUGUCAACAUGUUCCCGUAAGGAUCUUACACAUGUUAAUUUGUAGAAGACCUCAUUUGUAGAAGAUCUUCCAAAGUGAUAUCCAAGAUAUAAUUUCAUUAAAGAGGUUUUCUUCAAUUUCUACUAUGAAUGUUUUUCAUGAUCUGACUAGAAUGAUUAUUUUGCAUUUUAGCAUUUUCUGAGAUGAGGUGAUUAAUAGAAUUCAAGAAUGUUAAGAUCAGCAAUCUCUAGAUAAUGAUACUGGUGCAAACUUGUGUAGACAACAGAAGCAUGGAGAAUGGCCCAAAACAAUAGAUUAUAUAGCAAAUGGGUAACCUACUUGGAUAGCAUGUGUAAUAUUGUUACUACUAUGGUGAGAGAUGCAAAUCCUCCAAGUAUGAUUAUAUACAUUACAUCUUAGAAUUAAAUGAACAAAUGACUUCACUCCUUGUUUGGACUUUUCGAAUAGCGUCAACUUUUCAAGGCUCCCACAAUUAAAUUCCCAUCACAGUCUAUACAGAAAAGAACAGAGCAUUGUUGAUAAUGCAACAAAAAUAUUGGGGCUUAUUUCAACCAAAAUAAGAACCUUAAAAGUUGACCAUGUGGAUCUACUUUUGAGGAAAAUAAAACAAUUCAUGGUUGAUCUCCUGUGCUGAUCACUCUGAUCCUCUUGUUUGUUUACAUCUUUUUUUUCCUUUGAAUGAUAGUGUUUGUUUGCUUCUUUUGUACUUUAUUUUGUUAAUAUCCAUCAUUGAAAUUAGUACUGUCUAGUAUGUUCUUGCAAGCUUCAGCCUUGCUUUGCUUAUAAUAAUAAGCAUCAAAGCAAGUAAAACCAUGCAUGAUGAAGGUUGGAGGAAAGAAUUCUUGCCUUUGGCUAUAUCACUUAAGUGAUGGGUCAAUUCAAGCAAUAUCAUGGGAUUGUAUGAUUUGGCACUAUAGUAAUGGGUCUAAAAAAAAAAAAAAAGAACAUUUCACAAAAAUUUCAUCUUUUAAAAAUUCAUUUUUUGGGGGGCGAAAGUGUAGCCAAGCUUGUCUCCAUAGUAGGCAUCUGUAUUUCAAGUGAUUGAUUUCUAGAGAGAUUUCCUCUUGUCGUUGUUGAAUUCUAAUUUGUGAAUGUUCAAUAUGCAUAUUUGAUUGUGAGUUGAUGAUUCUUAACUUCUACAUGAUUAAUGUUUCCUUUGUGUAGACAAUAUGUCAUAUAGUGGAAAUCCUCCUCCUCUUCCUCCUACUCCUACUCCAACUCCAACCACAAUCCUUUGGAAUGCUACUGAGUUGAACAAAUUCAUCAACUUAAUGGUUGAUACUAUAAGGAAUGAUCAGAAUUCCAACUCUGCAUUCAGUAAGGUUGGGUGGAUAACAUUAAAGUAUGACUAGAAGCAACUUUCCAGCGUUCAUUUAGAAAAGAGCAACUGUGUAAUAAGAUGAAUAAGCUACGAGAUGACUAUAAUAGUUUCAGGCGGUUGCUCGACACUAUAAUAUUUGGCUGGGAUUCAAAUACCAGGACUGCUACAGCCUACAGCUGAAGAUUCUGUUUGGGAAAAUGCUGUAAAGGCAAAUCCAACUUGGGCCAAAUUCCGAAAGAGUAGACUUCCAUGGUGCCAGAGUUGUUAGAGGUCUUCUCAGACUCAAGUGCUCGAGGAGAUAGAGGAGUAUCUCAGCUUAUUGCUGGGAAGCAAAAGUUCAUCGACAUUGAUCUUGACUUUGAGGAUGAGAAUGAUACACAUGAUUCCUCUUAAGAUGUAAUAGGGUUCGAUGAUAUAGAGCCUACAGAUGUUGAUGAUUAGUGUUGUAUUUCAGAAAGUGUUGCACGUUAUGGUUCAAGUAGCGAAUGAAACAAUCAGACCACAUAAUUUUGAUAUGGUCCCCUCAGAGAUUCAACAUAACCCAAAGUUUAGCCCUUUCUUCCAGGUAACCUUUUAUGAUUUAUGCUAAGUGCAAAUAUUAUCAAUUACUAGUUAAUGAGCGAAUUCUAAUAGAUAUCUAUAUUGUGUUUCAUUUAGGAUUGUAUUGGUACUAUUGAUGGCACUCAUAUUAGCACCAUAUUACCCAGAUCAGAGCAAACCCGAUAUAGAAAUUGGAAGGCAUUGAUCACACAUAAUGUUAUGUGUGCUUGUUCGUUCGAUAUGCAUUUUACAUUUGUGUACGCGGGCUAGGAAGUCAGUGCACAUGAUGAUCGGGUUUUUGAAGAGGCGAGAUCAAAUGUUACCUUAGGUUUUCCUCAUCCUCCUCCAGGUAAUUCACAACAAACAAAUCACUUGUACAUUAAGUGUCUUUUUAGACUAAUAUACUCACUUGUAUAAAAGUUAUCCAUAAUACUUGAAGGCAAGUAUUAUGCUGUGGACUCAGGUUACGCAAGUCAACUUGGGUAUUUGACAUCCUUUUGAGGAUAAAUGUAUCACCUAUCAGAUUUUAGUGGGAGAGAGAAGGGGUGCAAGACCGCCGAAUGAGUUGUUUAACCACAGACAUUCCUCCUUACAGAAUAUUAUUGAAAGAGCCUUUGGUGUAUUGAAGAAUAGAUUCCAAAUCUUACAAAAAAUGAAGGGUUACCGUAUCGAGGACCAAGCUAGCAUUGUAGUUGCAUGUCGUGGGCUUCACAACUACAUCAAAGGACAAGUUAUUAAAGAUGAUCUUUUUGAUAAAUAUGGAUGUGAAUGGACUGUGAUUGAUCAACUAAAUCCUCCUAAUCAUCAAGACUUCAUUGCUCCAACUACAAGUACAAAUCAGAGAAGAGCAAGACAACUGUCAAUGUUGAGGAUAAAUAUAGCAAAUCAAAUGGCUAUAUCAAAGGGAAUGCCUAUGAUUCCAAUUGAUGGACCUUGAUGUUUUGAUUUUAAUGACUUUAUGUUAGUUGCUACCAUUGAUGAUUUUAUGUUAUUUGUUAAAUUAUAUGUUACAUAAUAGAAAACUCUAUGUUCUAUUUACUUAUGUCACAUUUAAAAAGAUAUUCCCUAUUGAAUCUCUAUCA